AUCCCUCCCCGUCGGGCCCGGACCGCGCUAGCGGCUGCCAGCCCGGGGCUCCCGGCAGGAGGGCGCCGGAGCCCGGGACGCGCGUGUCCGGGUCUCGCGAGGGCUGCGGUGCGCGUCCGCCUGCAGGACACCGGGGACUGGAGUGAGCAGCCUGCGCAGUAGAGCACAGAAGAACCAACUUCCCAGGGAACAAGCGAUGGAGAGACUCCCUGCCUGGUUGAGAUGUAGAGCUGUGGAUGUGGGUACAGAAGCAAGUGAAAGCCAAGGUCCCGAGGAUCGAACUUAAGUUGCCAAGGUUUGGAGCAAGCACCUUUACCCUCUGAGCCAUUUCGCCACCCCAUUGCUGCCUGCUUUAAAACCACAGUCCAUGCACAUUGCCAGCCAUCCCAAUCAGCAGGGAACUAACCCCAGCUCCUGUAAGCUUUCCUACCAAAUUCCAUUUCCUGCCUCAGCUCUUAAUUCCUUUUGAAAGCUCCUUGGUGUAUCUUUGGAGAGCUCUUUGGUAUAUCUUCAUGGACUAAUGGCUGGAGAAGACUUCAAGUUCUACCUCUGGGAACGUUGAAGAUUCAGCAUGUAAUUGGUGACCGUCGUAGAUUACUGCCAACCACAAUGGCACCCCUCUCUAAUUCACCAUCCCUCUAAUGAAACUGUCACUUAAGUAAUUUGUUCUUAUUAAGGGCAGCGUUUUAAAAAUAAAACAGUAACAGGGGU